rnacentral:lncRNA from 1 species
CCCCUUUUAAUCAGGGUCGUCCAUUGCGUUUGAUUUGAGUCAUCCGAUCGCGAUUAAAUAGGGAGUGAAUCUGAACCGUUCAUCGCAAUCUGAUCUGGACUAUCUGAUCGCAUUUAAAUAGGAAGUGGAUCUGGACCAUUCAUCGCGUUUAAAUCUAACUGUCUGAUCGUGUCUGAGAGGGAACGGAUCCGAGCUGUCCAUGUGUGUGGGAAUUAAUCUGGACUGUCUGAUCAC